AGAGGCGAUGAAAGACGUAAUAACUUGCGAUAAGCCCAGAUUAGGUAGUAAUAACCUUUUGAGUCUGGGAUUUCUGAAUGGGGAAACCCACGUGCACAAGCACGUAUCCUGUUGUGAAUACAUAGCAACAGGAGGCAAACCGGGGGAACUGAAACAUCUAAGUACCCCGAGGAAGAGAAAUCAACCGAGAUUCCGAAAGUAGCGGCGAGCGAAAUUGGAUUAGC
rnacentral:rRNA from 1 species